rnacentral:rRNA from 1 species
AACGAACGCUGGCGGCAUGCCUAACACAUGCAAGUCGAACGAGACCUUCGGGUCUAGUGGCGCACGGGUGCGUAACGCGUGGGAACCUGCCCUUAGGUUCGGAAUAACUCCCCGAAAGGGGUGCUAAUACCGGAUAAUGUCUUCGGACCAAAGAUUUAUCGCCUUUGGAUGGGCCCGCGUUGGAUUAGCUAGUUGGUAGGGUAAAAGCCUACCAAGGCGACGAUCCAUAGCUGGUCUGAGAGGAUGAUCAGCCACACUGGGACUGAGACGCGGCCCAGACUCCUACGGGAGGCAGCAGUGGGGAAUAGUGGACAAGGGGCGAAAGCCUGAUACAGCAAUGCCGCGUGAGUGAUGAAGGCCUUAGGGUUGUAAAGCUCUUUUACCCGGGAUGAUAAUGACAGUACCGGGAGAAUAAGCGCCGGCUAACUCCGUG